CGGGUGAGUAACGCGUGGAUAACCUGCCUCACACUGGGGGAUAACAGUUAGAAAUGACUGCUAAUACCGCAUAAGCGCACAGUACCGCAUGGUACAGUGUGAAAAACUCCGGUGGUGCGAGAUGGAUCCGCGUCUGAUUAGCCAGUUGGCGGGGUAACGGCCCACCAAAGCGACGAUCAGUAGCCGACCUGAGAGGGUGACCGGCCACAUUGGGACUGAGACACGGCCCAA
rnacentral:rRNA from 1 species